rnacentral:lncRNA from 1 species
AGAAAAUCAAAAUCUGGUGUAGAGAAGGGCUUUUCAGAAGGAUCAUGUGGAGAUACUGCCUUUGCUUCCCCCCAUCCCAGAAUGGAAAGGUCUGACCACUAGUUCACAGAAGGAACAUGAACUUCAUUGAACUUCUCAAUCAUCAUGCAGAAAGGUGAGGGGAAGAAAAAAGAAUCAGUCUUCAUGAUGUUGUCCUAGGGACUGCGCGUUUUCUGAUAAAAUAUUUAGGUUGUCAUUUCUUUCCCAACAUUAGUCUGACGGUAAUACUGUGGGACAGGUAAGCAGCAUAUUUUAUUGUCCUUAUUUUCUAGACGAGGAAUCUUGACAAGUCAACUGAGAC